AUUGGAUGCAGCAAGAUCAUGAUCAACUCGGAUAACAUGGAGGUUGUGGAAGUUUUGAGAGAAGGCAACUCCUCUUCGGUGGCAAGUGCAAUUAUUGAUGAUUGCUAUUUCAUGUCAUCAGAUUUUAAUCAUGUAAUUUAUGAUCAUUGUAAUAGAGAGAGUAAUAAAGUAGCUCAUGCACUCGCUAAGAUAGUUAAGUUUUCUCCUUCUAUCUGGAUGGAUUCGACACCGGACGUACUGCUUCCAUUACUUGUAAACGACGCCACUAUUUUGCUAAGUGAAUAA
rnacentral:rRNA from 1 species